AGCUAAUACAUGCUAAAAACCCCGAAGUGAGGAGGGGUGUAUUUAUUAAAUUAAAAGCCAAUGCCCCCCGGGCUCACUGGUGAUUCAUGAUAACUUCGCGGAUCGCACGGCCUUGCGCCGGCGAUGGUUCAUACAAAUUUCUUCCCUAUCAACUUUCGAUGUUUGGGUCGUGGCCAAACAUGGUGCCAACGGGUAACGGAGGGUUAGGGCUCGACCCCGGAAAAGGAGCCUGAGAGACGGCUACUACAUCCAAGGAAGGCAGCAGGCGCGCAAAUUACCCAAUCCCGACACGGGGAGGUAGUGACAAUAAAUACUGAUACAGGGCUCUUUUGGGUCUUGUAAUUGGAAUGAGUACAUCCUAAAUCCCUUAACGAGGAACAAUUGGAGGGCAAGUCUGGUGCCAGCAGCCGCGGUAAUUCCAGCUCCAAUAGCGUAUAUUAAAGUUGUUGUGGUUAAAAAGCUCGUAGUUGAACCUUGGGCCUGGCUGGCCGGUCCGCCUCACCGCGUGCACUGGUCCGGCCGGGUCUUUCCCUCUGCGGAACCCCAUGCCCUUCGCUGGGCGUGGCGGGGAAACAGGACGUUUACUUUGAAAAAAUUAGAGUGCUCCAGGCAGGCCUAUGCUCGAAUACAUUAGCAUGGAAUAAUGAAAUAGGACGCGCGGUUCUAUUUUGUUGGUUUCUAGGACCGCCGUAAUGAUUAAUAGGGACAGUCGGGGGCAUCAGUAUUCAA
rnacentral:rRNA from 1 species